GAUGAACGCUGGCGGCGUGCCUAAUACAUGCAAGUCGAGCGAACAGACGAGGAGCUUGCUCCUCUGACGUUAGCGGCGGACGGGUGAGUAACACGUGGAUAACCUACCUAUAAGACUGGGAUAACUUCGGGAAACCGGAGCUAAUACCGGAUAAUAUAUUGAACCGCAUGGUUCAAUAGUGAAAGACGGUUUUGCUGUCACUUCUAGAUGGAUCCGCGCCGCAUUAGCUAGUUGGUAAGGUAACGGCUUACCAAGGCAACGAUGCGUAGCCGACCGGAGAGGGUGAUCGGCCACACUGGAACUGGGACACGGUCCAGACUCCUACGGGAGGCAGCAGUAGGGAAUCUUCCGCAAUGGGCGAAAGCCUGACGGAGCAACGCCGCGUGAGUGAUGAAGGUCUUCGGAUCGUAAAACUCUGUUAUUAGGGAAGAACAAAUGUGUAAGUAACUAUGCACGUCUUGACGGUACCUAAUCAGAAAGCCACGGCUAACUACGUG
rnacentral:rRNA from 1 species